rnacentral:rRNA from 1 species
CAGCAGCCGCGGUAAGACGGAGGAGGCAAGCGUUGUCCGGAAUUAUUGGGCGUAAAGAGCGCGUAGGCGGUUUUCCAAGUCAUAUGUGAAAACUUUAGGCUUAACCUAAAGAUUGCAUGUGAAACUGGAUAACUAGAGUACGGCAGAGGAAAGUGGAAUUCCUGGUGUAGCGGUGAAAUGCGCAGAUAUCAGGAAGAACACCAGUGGCGAAGGCGGCUUUCUAGGCCGUUACUGACGCUGAGGCGCGAAAGCUAGGGGAGCGAACAGGAUUAGAUACCCUGGUAGUCCUAGCCGUAAACGAUGGACACUAGGUGUGGGAAGUUAUCGACGCUUUCUGUGCCGAAGCUAACGCAUUAAGUGUCCCGCCUGGGGAGUACGGCCGCAAGGCUAAAACUCAAAGGAAUUGACGGGGGCCCGCACAAGCGGCGGAGCAUGUGGCUUAAUUCGACGCAACGCGAAGAACCUUACCAAGGCUUGACAUCAUACUGACGGUUGUUAGAAAUACAACUUCUCUUCGGAGCAGUAUGACAGGAGGUGCAUGGCC